rnacentral:tRNA from 1 species
GGCCCCUUAGCUCAACUGGAUAGAGCGGCGGACUUCUAAUCCGCAGGUUCCGGGUUCGAUCCCUGGAGGGGUCGCCA